AACGAACGCUGGCGGCAUGCCUAACACAUGCAGGUCGAACGAGAUCUUCGGGUCUAGUGGCGCACGGGUGCGUAACGCGUGGGAAUCUGCCCUUUGGUUCGGAAUAACAGUUGGAAACGACUGCUAAUACCGGAUGAUGACGAAAGUCCAAAGAUUUAUCGCCAGAGGAUGAGCCCGCGUAGGAUUAGCUAGUUGGUGUGGUAAGGGCGCACCAAGGCGACGAUCCUUAGCUGGUCUGAGAGGAUGAUCAGCCACACUGGGACUGAGACACGGCCCAGACUCCUACGGGAGGCAGCAGUGGGGAAUAUUGGACAAUGGGCGAAAGCCUGAUCCAGCAAUGCCGCGUGAGUGAUGAAGGCCUUAGGGUUGUAAAGCUCUUUUACCCGGGAUGAUAAUGACAGUACCGGGAGAAUAAGCUCCGGCUAACUCCGUGCCAGCCGCCGCGGUAA
rnacentral:rRNA from 1 species